UACGGAGGAUGCAAGCGUUAUCCGGAAUUAUUGGGCGUAAAGCGUCUGUAGGUGGAUGUUCAAGUCUGCUGUCAAAGACUGGGGCUCAACCCUGGAGCGGCGGUGGAAACUGUAGAGCUAGAGAACGGUAGGGGCAGAGGGAAUUCCCAGUGUAGCGGUGAAAUGCGUAGAGAUUGGGAAGAACACCAGUGGCGAAAGCGCUCUGCUAGGCCGGGUCUGACACUCAGGGACGAAAGCUAGGGGAGCGAAUGGG
rnacentral:rRNA from 1 species